AUUGAACGCUGGCGGCAUGCCUUACACAUGCAAGUCGAACGGCAGCACGGGAGCAAUCCUGGUGGCGAGUGGCGAACGGGUGAGUAAAGUAUCGGAACGUGCCCAGUCGUGGGGGAUAACGUAGCGAAAGUUACGCUAAUACCGCAUACGAUCUAUGGAUGAAAGCGGGGGAUCUCAAGACCUCGCGCGAUCGGAGCGGCCGAUCUCAGAUUAGGUAGUUGGUGGGGUAAAGGCCCACCAAGCCGACGAUCUGUAGCUGGUCUGAGAGGACGACCAGCCACACUGGGACUGAGACACGGCCCAGACUCCUACGGGAGGCAGCAGUGGGGAAUUUUGGACAAUGGGCGAAAGCCUGAUCCAGCCAUGCCGCGUGCAGGAUGAAGGCCUUCGGGUUGUAAACUGCUUUUGUACGGAACGAAAAGGACUGCCCUACUACGGUGGUCCCAUGACGGUACCGUAAGAAUAAGCACCGGCUAACUACGUGCCAGCAGCCGCCGUAAUAC
rnacentral:rRNA from 1 species